AUGCUUUUCCUAAAGAUUAAGCCAUGCAUGCCUAAGACUAUGAGGAAGCAAUUCUCUCUGAAUCUGCGAACGGCUCCGCAAACCAGUUGUAAACCAUAGCAGCGUUCCGCCCGGCUUCAGCAAUGGAGCCGGGCAUUAUAUGGAUAACCGUGGUAAUUCUGAGGCUAAUACAUGACACACCAACCUGCCGGGCUGGGGGCAACUCCGGCUAGGUGGGGGACGUGCAAACUCCCAUUGCUAUAACAAACCACGAAUGAAUG
rnacentral:rRNA from 1 species